UACGUAGGGUGCAAGCGUUAAUCGGAAUUACUGGGCGUAAAGCGUGCGCAGGCGGUUAUAUAAGACAGAUGUGAAAUCCCCGGGCUCAACCUGGGAACUGCAUUUGUGACUGUAUAGCUAGAGUACGGCAGAGGGGGAUGGAAUUCCGCGUGUAGCAGUGAAAUGCGUAGAUAUGCGGAGGAACACCAAUGGCGAAGGCAAUCCCCUGGGCCUGUACUGACGCUCAUGCACGAAAGCGUGGGGAGCAAACAGG
rnacentral:rRNA from 1 species